rnacentral:rRNA from 1 species
AAUAGAUACCCGGGUAGUCCACGCCGUAAACGGUGGGUACUAGGUGUGGGUUUCCUUCCUUGGGAUCCGUGCCGUAGCUAGCGCAUUAAGUACCCCGCCUGGGGAGUACGGCCGCAAGGCUAAAACUCAAAGGAAUUGACGGGGCCCGCACAAGCGGCGGAGCAUGUGGAUUAAUUCGAUGCAACGCGAAGGACCUUACCUGGGUUUGACAUGCACAGGACGCCGGCAGAGAUGUCGGUUCCCUUGUGGCCUGUGUGCAGGUGGUGCAUGGCUGUCGUCAGCUCGUGUCGUGAGAUGUUGGGUUAAGUCCCGCAACGAGCGCAACCCUUGUCCUAUGUUGCCAGCGGGUUAUGCCGGGGACUCGUAGGAGACCGCCGGGGUCAACUCGGAGGAAGGUGGGGAUGACGUCAAGUCAUCAUGCCCCUUAUGUCCAGGGCUUCACACAUGCUACAAUGGCGGUACAAGGGCUGCGAUGCCGUGAGGUGGAGCGAAUCCGUUGGUAAAACCGGUCUCAGUUCGGAUCGGGGUCUGCAACUCGACCCCGUGUAACG